AGAAAAUUUGGCCUUCAUUUCAGCACUACUCCGCUCAAGGCUAUCUUGCAUGGCCUUUAACUUGGCUUCCUUCUCUGAUCUUUUUGUACCCCACUCUUCCCUUAGCUUUGCAUCUCUUUUCUGCAUGUACCUCUCAUAGAACUUUCCUCUAGCAUCAUCUGAAAAACUCAGCUCAGAGAAAUUAUGUCUCAGAGAACUGCUAUAGUUCUGAUCUACUGUCUUCAUUGGUGGAGGAGUGCCAAACUUGACAUUAUCACUAGCAUUCACAAUUGGUUCAACCACUGUCUUUUUAUCCUGAACCUGAGCUGGAGAUAUUUCCACUGCUGUCGGUUUUCUGUACUGUGAAUUUAUUGCCUGUU
rnacentral:misc_RNA from 1 species